rnacentral:rRNA from 1 species
UGCGCAGGCGGUUUUGUAAGCCAGAUGUGAAAGCCCCGGGCUUAACCUGGGAAUGGCAUUUGGGACUGCAAGGCUUGAGUGCGGCAGAGGAGACUGGAAUUCCUGGUGUAGCAGUGAAAUGCGUAGAUAUCAGGAGGAAUACCGAUGGCGAAGGCAGGUCUCUGGGCUGACACUGACGCUCAUGCACGAAAGCGUGGGGAGCAAAACA